UCCUGGAGCAGCAAGCUGAUCCCGCCGGCGUCGGUGCGGGCACGAAGCCCCAUCACUAGUUCCGGGUGGGGGCACUGAGGGUACUUGGCCACCUCCGCCCCCACGAAGGGCGGCGAGAAUGCCUUCUUCAGGAACGUCAUUGACAUCGUUGGAUUCUGGCUGAUGCCGAAUGAAGUAGGUGCUCUGCCAGUCGACCUCCGACGCCUUGGUCAGAGGCCCCAGUUCUUUGGCCAACUCCGACUCAUAGAAGCUUUGCUUCAAGAACUCCUCGUAGUUUUUAAAUUCUGAAGAGAACGUGGCUACUUGGCCUCCGAACACAAUCCACCAUGGCUCCUACCGCUGGUUUCCCUUAGUUUGAGAGCAACUUGGCUAAGCGGGAGAAGGCCGAUGAACCUCCUCUGCCUUCCGGUGGGCGCGCUUCCAAGCUCAUCAUCAACACUUAUCCACACGACUCGAGAAGCGAGAAGGAGCUCCAAGUUCAGAUGUAACGCAGAUCUUUAGGUGGCAUGCCGUGAAUUCAUUGGGCUGAAGGCACGGCAAGCGAUUGUAGUGAGUGUCCUCCGUUCACCGUUCAGUCUUUCCAUUUCAGCAUGGAGAACCCUUUGGCCAGAAGAAAGAAAACACCAAAUUAAGGCCGUUCUUUCUCGUUGAAUUAGCUUUAAUAUUAAAAUUGGAUAUUGAAGGCAUCAGAACCUUGGAUCCAGGAGGCACCGGUGGCAUGUCUUGCUUCAGGACAUUUGGACCAUAGCAAGUGACGACGUCGUCUUUCAGGCCAAGUAUAUUUAUAGAAAGACUAAUGGAGCCGUGGAUUGGAUGGCCUCAUAUGUGGCUGACCACAACUGAAAGCCCUGUGGGUUAGGAAGGAGAGAUGUCUAGAGCACUCUGAGACUUGUUAUUUUCUAACUUUUUUUGAUAUAUUCAUACUAAAAUUGUAUGAAUUAUCCGUUGCAAUAAUUUAAAAAAAAAACAGAACCUUCUUUGAGACAUUUUUCUGCUUACCUAAUUGGCACA